rnacentral:misc_RNA from 1 species
AGAAAUGGCAGAUAAUUCGAUUCUGUGUUCUUGUUUUUGUACGAUUAUAAGUCUGUUCGCGCUCUUUUCGUGCCUCUCGUCCACUCUCUUUCAAUAAACGACCCGGGUCCUUCCAAUGCAUUCACUGUUUCGAGCUUUAGGAACCCUAACUCUGAAGUCAAGCCUUAUGAUUUGCGUUAUAUCCGAGGUGCGUCAAAUGAAACAACACUCCCCUUCAGUUCAUUUAAUUCAUUCAGUCUAUUUUUGGUUUUUCAAGGACGACAGGCUGCAGUGAAUGAUGGGUCGUUGUCAAAGUUUUAACUUCUAUCGAGAAUUUUCCCUAAUGAAUUGAACAGUGAUUGCCUGUUUUUGCUAGUUGUUCGGGUGUAUAUAAUUUAAGUAUUAUUUUUGAACUAAGGUCUGUUAGUAUCAGAUCUCCUUGGUCAAUGUUAAUAUUUUGACCAUAAACUUGUUUUCUUUUUGUUUUUUGGUGGACAAAUUUAUUUUCUUUAAUGUUUACUUAUCAAAUUGGAACUCAUUAAAAUGAGUUAAACUAUCUUUACAAUUGUUCUGCGUUUUGGUGUUUGUGGUGAUCUGAGUAACUUGUUAUGGUUAAUUGAUGUUGUUUCAAGCAAUUCAUCGAAUUCCUGAAUUAGUGGAACAGCUGAAUUACUGAUUUUUCUUUUUCUUUCAUUAAUUCAAAAUUUUAGCUGUAAACAUCUAAAUGAUUAAUUGUGCAAUGCCAAUAUAUAAGGGUUCUCAUGUUGUGCCUUGUUUCAGUUGAUUGCCCCCCUGUUCUUUUCUUUUUCCUUAGCAGUGGAGUUCGAUGUGGACCUUGUAAGUAUGUAUGUGUAAUUAAAAAGAAGUAUUCAAGGAUUUUCAGUCAAUUGCCAUUAUGUGAUUGUUAAUACCUGAAACUGAGGU